rnacentral:rRNA from 1 species
GAACUUAAGCAUAUCAAUAAGCGGAGGAAAAGAAACCAACAGGGAUUACCUCAGUAACGGCGAGUGAAGCGGUAACAGCUCAAAUUUGAAAUCUGGCUCUUUCAGGGUCCGAGUUGUAAUUUGUAGAAGAUGCUUUGGGCAUUGCUCCGGUCUAAGUUCCUUGGAACAGGACGUCAUAGAGGGUGAGAAUCCCGUAUGUGACUGGUGGCAUUUGUCCGUGUAAAGCUCUUUCGACGAGUCGAGUUGUUUGGGAAUGCAGCUCAAAAUGGGUGGUAUAUUUCAUCUAAAGCUAAAUAUUGGCCAGAGACCGAUAGCGCACAAGUAGAGUGAUCGAAAGAUGAAAAGCACUUUGGAAAGAGAGUUAAACAGUACGUGAAAUUGUUGAAAGGGAAGCGCUUGCAACCAGACUUGCAGGUCGUUGAUCAUCCGGGGUUCUCCCCGGUGCACUCGGCGGCUUUCAGGCCAGCAUCGGUUUGAGUGGUGGGAUAAAGGCCUUGGGAAUGUGGCUCCUCUCGGGGAGUGUUAUAGCCCAAGGUGCAAUGCCGCCUAUUCGGACCGAGGACCGCGCUUCGGCUAGGAUGCUGGCGUAAUGGUUGUAAGCGACCCGUCUUGAAACACGGACCAAGGAGUCUAACAUCUAUGCGAGUGUUUGGGUGUCAAACCCAUACGCGUAAUUAACGUGAACGGAGGUAAGAACCCUUAAGGGUGCAUUAUCGACCGAUCCUGAUGUCUUCGGAUGGAUUUGAGUAAGAGCAUAGCUGUUGGGACCCGAAA